UGUCCCUGUGGGAGGUGAUGCAGUCGGAC
rnacentral:piRNA from 1 species